CGCAGGUGUGGCACGCACAAGGAAUGUGUGGGUCAGGGCACGAAUGCUGCUCUGACCCCUGGGGCCCGGGGAGCGCUGACACCAGCAGGAGAAUCAGGACCAUGAAGAGGAAAAAUCACAAAUAUUCUUUCUGCCCUCCGUAACCAAAGCUGUGCCAAACCAGAGAUGCUGCCUUCAAACUGACUCAAAUUCCAACCUAAACCGCUCACCUUCCAGACAACUCCUUCCCCAACACCCCACCAACACCAACACCCCCAAACUCCGGCACAGAAGCCCUCAACACCCCGUCAGGGGCCCCAGCUGCCCCCGUCCCUCUGCAGGGCUUUCCCACCCUCCAGCAGAUGCCCGGGUUCCCUGCACGUGCCAUGGGAUGGCACUCAGGAGGAUCUGCUCCGAGGCCUUCCCCUGGAGCGAGCUCAGGCUGCCAGGCCUACGGGUCCUGGAUCAUCCUUCCCACCGAGCCUUCCUGUGCACGGCUGUUCCAUCUGCACCUUUGGGCUCAGCUCGGACUUCUCCACCUAACCAGGAGUGUUGCAGCGCGCGUGUGCGGGGCGUGCUGGACGGCUGUGGCACAGGCGUGACUGUCCCCCUGCGAGCUCUGCAAUUCCCAGUUAUCGGCAGGUCUGGCGCAGGGACAGACAGCGAUGACACGGGUCUGGGUGUAGAACAAGAUGGAUUUAUUCCUGGGCUCCCCAGCAAGACUGGGGGGCGGGGGUGAACAGAAGUUUUUAUACAGCAACUCAGGAGGCGGGUGUAGGAAAGUGAACCAGUGAGGAUAUGGUAAGGGAGGAAUAUAAGGUGGGGCAAAUAGCUUAUGAGCCUAUCAGGGAAAACAGGGGAGGGGAAUAAUACAAAGUAAGGAGUGGGGUAUCGAGGGCAGCAAGACAGACACUGAACUCUCCGGAGAAAGGGGUAGGGAUAGGGAGGAUUGACAGCUUGGAAGGGAGGAGCUUAGGGAAGAGCUUGGGAAAAUUGGCAACUGGGAAAGGGAGUGGAUUAGGGGGGAGACCAGGGGGCAAACAUGGAUUCAAAGCAAAACACACCAUAAUAUCUCCCUGUGUCUUUUUACAAAAGGGAGGAGAGUUCUGGGGUUCAAAACAAAUUAAUGAAUCUAUUACAUAGCAUAUCAUAUACAUAAUCUAUCAUAUAACAGAUUUUAGCAUGUGACAAAUAAUUACAGCAACAGAAAAGAAUUCAAAAAUUAUCAGGAAAAAAUGAACUAUUCAUGACCAUAACGCAUGGGGUAAGGAUCUUCUUCACAUAAGAAACUUAAUAUAAAAUGUACAAAGUUAUUAUAUACGGAAUCAGUGUCCGGAGGAGGAAUUGCCGUGGAAUUAUCUCGAAGUAGGACUGCGCUUGAAGCAUAAAUCACCGAGGAAUCUGCAGGUUCUGGAUUUCUGGGGUUUGAAAGUGAUUUUGGAGGUCACUCCUCCUGUAGGAUGUGAUCAGCAAAUGGAGAUGUGGUCUUGCUCAUUUUAUUUUAUGCUACUGUGGGUAUUAACUGGACAGAAUGAUUCCUCUCUCUAUAAUAUAUAACUUAAGAAGCAGAUUAUUUUAAAGUAUCAAGAAUAUAAUGAACAAUUUUUUUAGUCAAGAAAUUUAGUUGGAAAUGUGGGAAAAUGGCUAAACAAAAAUGAACAAAGAUCAUGAAAUGUAAAUACGGUCUAAAGGUAAAUUAAUGAACUCUUUUUCCAAAGCGUACUGUGAAAACUUUAAAACAAUAUUGAAAUUAAAAGGAACAUUUGGUAGGGCAUAAUUAAGGAAAUGGAUGGGCAAUUUGGGCAGUCACUCUUGAAUAAUUUUGUCCUUAUAUUCAUUCAUUGUUUAUUUUUAUUUUUAUUAUGAUGAUAGUAAUUUUUUUUUUUUUUUACUUUGGACAGUUUUUUGUUUUGUGAUCUUUCUUUUUACAGGUGAAACAAAUUUUUGACUUUGAUGGGCAAACACUUGCCUCAUGUCUCUUUUUCCUAUACUUAAAACAUAUUUUAAAUUGUUCUUUUUGGUUCUGUUUUUUAAUUUAUCUCAACUGUGGAAGCUUGUAGGUUAAUGAUCUUGAACAGUUUCCACAAAGGCUUUGAAGGGUCAAGGGCUUUGGGGAGAUUCUUCCAAAAAUUAAAUGCAAAUUGAAUUCAUAA